GGCAGACCUGACUCUAAAGAUCUAUACCAGAGGUUUAGGCUCAUCGUCACUGAUGCUCUGACCACUUCUCCUAAAACUACAGAGCAGCCUGAAACAACUAAAGGUGUGAUCCUGUAUGUGUUUCUGACUCUGGUCGUCCUGGUCAUCGUGUCAUCCCUGUCUGUGCUGGUAUUCUGCAGGAAGAGGAUUUGUAAAGACAAAGAACCUCAUGUGGAAACACUAUGUGCUUCUGCACCAGAGGCUGAAGACGACCCGAGUCAACACACCUACUCUGAGAUAACAUUUGUCAGCGUCGGCUCGUCCCACAGCGGGUUUUCUGAGUGUGUUAUCUACUCUGUUCCUCGGGUGGAAGCUAGCUCUGAUGAGCCCCCUCUGUACUCUACUGUUAACAACCCCCAAUAACUCUCACAGUCUGGCAGAAGAAGCUGGUGUGGAUUAAGCAGCCGUGUAAAUAUUCUGAAACAGAGAGAUGUUUGUGGGAAUAUGUACAAUUAUCUAACCAUUUACUUAUUUCAAACCUGCUUUGAAUGACCUGCUCAUGUGAUGAUAAGUCCAGCUCUGCUCUAGUUCACAAACGUGCCUCUUCAACAGUUUGCUUCAGGUCAAAGCUGGUUGCACUUAUUGUACGUCCCUUUGGAUAAAAGCCUCAGCUAAACGAUAUUUAAUGUAAAAAGCUCUUUUAUGGCUUCAAUUUAUUUAUAAAGUUCAUUUUAUUACACUUGAUAUGGUUUUAAAGUUAUCUCUGUAAGAUAUACUGUUCUAGUCAAGUUAGCAGAUUAGCAUAAGAUAUGUUGCUCCGAAUUAGCUUUGACUAUUAAAUUGACUAUUUUGGUUAAAGAGUUCAUUUAAAGAAAUGUUUAAUUAUAACGGAAUGUAAAUAAAUAGAUAUGAAACUAUAGAUGUGGUCAGUACGGGAUACAAGAUGCCACUCCUCAUACUGUUGCAUAAUGUGUCAGACUUCUAACCUGUUUGUAU